GAGGCAUCACUCCUGGCUAAAGUGUC
rnacentral:piRNA from 1 species